GGUUGAUCCUGCCAGUAGUCAUAUGCUUGUCUCAAAGAUUAAGCCAUGCAUGUCUAAGUAUAAACAACUUUAUACUGUAAAACUGCGAACGGCUCAUUAUAUCAGCAAUAAUUUAUUUGAUGAUUUCUUACUACAUGGAUAACUGUAGUAAUUCUAGAGCUAAUACAUGCGCAGGGAUGUAUUUAUUAGAUACAAAACCAAUGCGGGUUCUGCCCGCCAUUGUGUUGAAUCAUAGUAACUUAUCGAACGCCAUAGCCUUGUGCUGGGCGUAGAUCAUUCAAAUUUCUGCCCU
rnacentral:rRNA from 1 species